rnacentral:rRNA from 1 species
CAGCAGCCGCGGUAAUACGUAGGGUGCAAGCGUUAAUCGGAAUUACUGGGCGUAAAGCGUGCGCAGGCGGUUAUAUAAGACAGAUGUGAAAUCCCCGGGCUCAACCUGGGAACUGCAUUUGUGACUGUAUAGCUAGAGUACGGCAGAGGGGGAUGGAAUUCCGCGUGUAGCAGUGAAAUGCGUAGAUAUGCGGAGGAACACCGAUGGCGAAGGCAAUCCCCUGGGCCUGUACUGACGCUCAUGCACGAAAGCGUGGGGAGCAAACAGGAUUAGAUACCCGGGUAGUCCAUGUCUCUUAUAC